CCUGCCUCAGCCUCCUGAGUAGCUGGGAUUACAGGCACGCUACCAUGCCCAACUAAUUUUUGUAUUUUUAGUAGAGACGGGGUUUCGCCAUGUUGGCCAGGCUCCUGACUUCAGGGUGAUCCGCCCUCCUUGGCCUCCCAAAGUGCUGAGAUUACAGGCGUGAGCCACCGAGCCCUGCCGCUGUCUGGAAAAUUUUAACACUCUUUGAAUAAGGGGCUAUCACGUUUUCAUUUUGCACUGGCCUGCAAAUUAAGCAGCUGGUCUUAGCUGCUAGUAAAAUGAUGAGAAUCAUCAGGGAUAAAUAAGACCAGUGAAACUGCACCCAGACGGUGUCUCAGAACAGACGGUGACAAAACAAACAUUGGCUAUAAGUAGAACUCACCUCACCUGGUUGGUGAGUUUGCUGCCAGCACUGCAUAGGGCAGAUUUCACAGAAUGGGGAACAACAGGACUACUGGUCAGGGAAGACAGGCAUACUGGGGAAGAGUCCUCAGGGAGCAAAUUAGUAAGGCCCUUUUCCCUCUGGGGUAAUAAAACAGACACAAAGAAGAACUUGAAGGAUUAGAAGACUGGGCUAGACUCAAGAAGAGUUAGGACGUACCUGCAAAUUCAGAGUAGGAUAUCCUGAAGUGCAGAAAAUAAAUCUUUAGCUAUUUAUCAUCUUUGUCCCCAAAUAAGGUUCCCAUAGGAAUGCCAUAUUGAUCAAGUUGGAAAGCCCCACACCAGGAACAAAUAUUAUAACAUAGGUUGUAGAAGAUAUUAAAAAUUGGUAAGACUUCACUCUGAGUAUCCUAGAUAAAAAGGGAGUCAGUAAUUACAUACCAAAGAACAUAACUAGGAUAACUCUUCAAUUACUUGAUUUUUUGGGGGGUAACUUUUUCAUGUUUAUUGUCAUUAUCUCCAUCUACUUUUCCAUACUAUCUUUAAAAAUGGAAGAACCUGUGUGCUUAUUCUGGGUUAUAACAAGAAAGGGAGGAGGUUGGAGAAUCAUAUUAUACAUUGCAGUCUACCCUGGGGAGAGCCUACCUUGAAGAGAAACAAAUCAUGGGUUAUAGAGUAGGAGGGGACAGCUUUUUUUUUUUCUUAAAGCAAGUUAAAUACCUAGGGUGUAUAGGGAGGAAGAAAAGGUCCCUUUGUGACACAGCUGGGGAUGAGCAAGAGGAAAUUAGGGGGCAUGGAGGCCCUUCUCUUGAACAGUGAUUUCAGACAUACUCAAGAGAAGGCAUUAUUCCAGCCUCCAAGAGAUUCGAAGAGAUUCCUAAGCAUUUAAAUGAUGGAACUGUAUCGUCUCAAUCAACUAAAAACACAUUUCCUAAUGAUUUGUAGCUCUCUGCUGGCUGGGUGAAGGGGCCUGUCUACAAACCUAGUGUGGUCAUCAGUCUGAGUGCUGUCUUCUUGGAGAUCUGAGGAUGUGCCUCUGGAUAGCAUAGAGAGCCUGCCAAGACUUACCAAACUCCCCUGUCUCCACUACUCUGAUGGUUCAUGAGAAACAAAUGCUACAGUCAUAAGGAUUUGCAGUGCAUCUCUAGGAUUAGGUAGAAAAAUGAAAAAAGCUGGGAGAUGGUUGGGAUUUUGUUUUGUUUUGUUUUUUUUGCUUCCAAUUUGUAGUCGUGACUGGAAAGGAAAGGAGAAAGGAGGGUAAUAGCUGGUUACGUAGAAGGCAUCUAAAGGAAAGAAUUCGUCUUCUGGAUCAUGACAGCAACAUCAGAAAGAUGUACUACUGAAGAUGGAAAGGGCAACAGAUCAAAGUGGAGAGCAUAUUUAACAAGGAUGAAUGGAUAAAGGGGAGGGAGAAAAAUCAAGACCAACUACCAGCUAGGUAACAAGGACAGUGAGCAUGACAGAAAAAGAAUUUGUACAGUGAAAGUGGUCCCUGGUAAUGAUCAUUCUUUCCUUCAUUCGACAAAUAACAGAGAAUUUCGCUUAGAAUAAUCUUUAUGUCUUUAGGAAGCUAUCUUAUGUCAACAGAAAGGAGGUGACAAAAUGAGCUCAAAGUUUUAAAGCAAAAAGUAAAUAUAAUGUUAUUGAGAGCACUAAGACUGAAUGGGAUAAAAUUCAGCCUAAAAAAAUAUUAAGAGAGGCCAGGCACGGUGGCUCACAUCUGUAAUCCCAGCACUUUGGGAGGCCAAGGUGGGCAGAUCACCUGAGGGGAGUUUGAGACCAGCCUGUCCAACAUGGUGAAACCCCAUCUCUACUAAAAAAUGCAAAAAUUAGCUGGGCGUGGUGGCGGGCACCUGUAAUCCCAGCUACUUGGGAGGCUGAGGCAGGAGAAUUGCUUGAACCUGGGAGGCAGAGGUUGCAGUGAGCCAAGAUAAUGCCACUGCACUCCAGCCUGGGCGACAGAGCAAGACUCUAUCUCCAAAAAAAAAAAAAAAAAAAAAAUUAAGAGAAAGACAUACUUUAUUCAAAAACUUAUUCUAUAGGAGAAACGAGAUUAGUGCCAUGUAUAACUAAGAUAUAUAUCAAGGUGGAGACAAAGCAAAAAAAGGUAAAGCAAAUAAAGCAAAUGAGAAAUUAGUUAUACUGCUAUAUACACCUCAAGACCAUGGUGGAGGAGGGAGGAAAUGGAUAUUGUGUUUUUGGUGUUACAUCUUGGUACGAGUAACCCUUGGCAGUAAGGGGAGAAUUUGAUUAUCUUUGAAAAAGUUAAUUUUGCUCAAAUUAAAGUAUUUGGUAAAUGCCUAACUUUUAAUGUUGACAUUUUAAAUCUCUAUAAAUAAGAGAGCAUACAAGAGAGUUGAAUGUCAAUAUGGAGAUUCUGAGGGGUAAUAACGAGGGAGUAACCAAAGUCUUGGAGCCUAGACUAUAGAAGGUCAUGUAUGUGGUCCUGCUUGUACUCCUUGAAAUGAAGUUCUUGGACAGGAUAGUUCCACAAAUUCUUAUUGGUCUGCAUCAAGAUGAAAGUAAGUAUUGGAAACUUUUACAGUGAUUUUUAUCACCACAACAUUUUUAUUUUAUUAUAUGAAACUAAAACUGAUCCCUUACCACAGAUACUUUGAGAGGCACUUUCCUAGUUCAUAAUAAAAUAGAAUUAGAAAACUUUACUGCCUUUUGUCCUGACCGUGAAUACAGCUUGAGAAAAGGAAAGAGGGAGAAUGUGAAUAUAUAUUUGGGAAUUAUCCCAAUGGAACAAAUGAGGAAAAUAAUUUUAAAAGCAGUGUGAUUGUACUAGAAGCUCUCUUGAUGAGAAAAAGGGGAUAAAACCUUUUUAUUGAGCACUCUUAUAUGUAGGCACUUUUAUUGAGAUUAUCUUUUGUUUUCGAGACAAGGUCUUGCUCAGUCACCCAGGCUGGAGGGCAGUGUCACAGUCUCAGCUCACUGCAGCUUUGAAUUCCAAGCUCAAGCGGAUCCUCUCACCUCAGCCUCCCGAGUAGGUGGGACUACAGGUGCACACCACCACACCUGGCUAAUUUUUUUGACUUUUUUGUAGAGACAGGGUCUCACUGUGUUGCCCAGGCUGGUCUCGAACUCCUGAGCUCAAGUGAUCCUCCCACAUCAAUCUCCCAAAGUCCUUGGAUUACAGGUGUGAAUCAAUGCACCUGGUUUAUUUAGAUUAUUUUAAGUAAUGAAAUUCUAAUUUUUAUGGAAGGUGGGGCAUAACUGAAGCUCAGUGACUUUAGUGGGUUGAAGGUGUCCCCCAAAAGAUAUAUCCAUAUUCCAGUCCCUAGAACCUGUGACUAUUAACAUAUAUGGCAAAAAAAGAUGUGAUUAAGUUACAGAUCUUGAGAAGAGGAGCUUAUCCUAAAGAGGUCCUAAAUGCAAUCACACAUAUUCUUAUAAGAAAGAUGCACCGAGAAAGACAUAGCGAAAAGGAAGAGGCGAUGUGACUAUGGAAGCAGAGAUUGGAGUGAUGCAGCCACAUGCCAAGGAGUAUCCACAGCCACCAGAAGUCGAAGAGGCAUUAUUCUGAAGACUUUAUAUGUGCUACUUCAUUUAAUUUCUGCAACUCCACUUGAACUUGGAAUCCAGUGAAGCAAAGCGAUUGCCUGUAUACGCAGAAACAUG
rnacentral:lncRNA from 10 species